AUACGUAGGGAGCGAGCGUUGUCCGGAAUUACUGGGUGUAAAGGGAGCGUAGGCGGGAGUGCAAGUCAGAUGUGAAAUACAUGGGCUCAACCCAUGGGCUGCAUUUGAAACUGCAUUUCUUGAGUGAAGUAGAGGUAAGCGGAAUUCCUGGUGUAGCGGUGAAAUGCGUAGAUAUCAGGAGGAACACCGGUGGCGAAGGCGGCUUACUGGGCUUUUACUGACGCUGAGGCUCGAAAGCGUGGGGAGCAAACAGGAUUAGAUACCCUGGUAGUCCACGCUGUAAACGAUGAUUACUAGGUGUGGGGGGACUGACCCCUUCCGUGCCGCAGUUAACACAAUAAGUAAUCCACCUGGGGAGUACGGCCGCAAGGUUGAAACUUAAAGGAAUUGACGGGG
rnacentral:rRNA from 1 species